UAUUAUUACUAUUGAUAUAAUAUGUUGUAUAUGUAGCCUACAUUGCGUGUUUGCAUAAAAGAGCAGGUUAAUCCUUUUUUGAACAGGUUUGUUGAAAAAUCCUUCUCGAAAGAAUCGUAUUUCCAAAGUACUGUCAACUGACCACAUCUUCUUCCGCUUGUCAAAAUAGUUCUGCUCAGUUUGGUGUUUUAUUACGGAUUUAUUCUCAUAGUACCGUUUCAUAAUUUGAUAUAAUAAUAUAAUAAUAUGCUGAUAUUAAAAUUAAAAAAAAUAAAAAAUGUAAUAUUCGAACUGAAGGAAUUCCCGCCCUAGCGCAAGGACACAUUCUCCUCCAAGCACGCAGUGGAGCUGCUGCGCGCGCAGAAGGAAUAACUCGACCUUCAGUUUCACGGUCAAUCUUCAAUCUGAGGCGAAAAUAAGCAGAUAAGUUCAGUGAGUGCUAAAACCAUGGUCAACAUGAAAGGUCAUAGUUAACGACCACAUCACCAUCUUCUGCAACGCUCUGAUGUUUGCUUCAUACAACUGCUUGAACAUUUCAUACCCAGGAAACCAAGGAGAAACGCAAGAGAUUGUGCAAAGAUUCCUUUUUAAGAUGAACCCCGAGAAGGGAUCGAAAGUGGAGAAGACCACAUCGAGAAAGAAAUCAGCAGUCAGUCCAAAGGUUCUUUCACUGAUUAACAAGAUUGCGGACUUUGAAAGGAUGGAGUAAAACUUGGAGUGUCAGAUCUUCCUACAUUGCCUAGCAGAAAUUCUUGACAGUGUCAAAGACUUAAAAUACUUGCUGAUUAUUUGCUUUCAUGGUUGAUUUUUUUUUUUUUUAAUGCAUCAUCUGUUGUCAAGAUGAAUUAAUCUGUUCACAGGUGGUUCAGUUUUAAGGACAAAUUAAUUCUUAUUUUUUAUUUGUUUACCAAUUUGCUAUAUUGUUGCAGUUUUGAACAAUUCUUUUGUGUGUUGUUGCAGUUAUUAAAUAUAUAUAUAUAUAUAUAUAUAUACUGUUGCAGUUAUGAAAAAAAACUGAAUUGUAUGUGGUUGCAGUUGUGAUCUAAUUUAAACUUUUGGGCUUAUUUUUUUAUUGGAAUAUUGUUGCAGUUUAGCUAUAAUCUCUAUACUGGUAUAUUGUUGCAGUUUUGUACAAAGAAUAUUAGUAAAUUGCAGUCCUGAACAAACUAUUUGUAUAUUCUUGCAGAUUGGUCAAUAAAUUAUUAAAACACAUUUUUGCACUUACGGCUGAUUAUUUGAAUUAAAGCAGUGUUCAAACUUUAUGAUAAUUUAAUGGUUUUUUUCUUAUUAACUUUCCACAAUAUUUAUGUAAAACAUCUUAUCAAACAUUAAAAGCUGAAGAAAAUACAGAAAAUAUGUAAAAUUACAGCAAAAAACUGUAUUUUUGAAUUACGGAAAAUUACUGUUACUUAAUGUGCACGUUAUUUAACGGUAAUUUUCCGGCACCCCAGCUGCCGGAAUUUUACCGUUUUUUUACGGGAUUUUUUUUUACAGUGUAUGUAUGUAU